GACGAAGGGGGCUAGCGUUGUUCGGAAUUACUGGGCGUAAAGCGAGUGUAGGUGGUUGUCGUAGUCAGGUGUGAAAGCCUUGAGCUCAACUCAAGAAAUGCACUUGAUACUGGAUAACUAGAGGACCGGAGAGGAUAGUGGAAUUCCCAGUGUAGUGGUGAAAUACGUAGAGAUUGGGAAGAACACCAGUGGCGAAGGCGGCUAUCUGGACGGUUUCUGACACUAAGACUCGAAAGCGUGGGGAGCAAACAGG
rnacentral:rRNA from 1 species